GAAGAAAAAGUGUGGGAUUUCAAGGGAUUAAGCUAAUAAAGGUGGUGAGCCCUCUAACAAGGGUAAAGAGAUUGUGCCCGAAGACCAAGAAUAGGGGUAUAUUGAACUCCUAGUACUCUUACUACAAUGGGCGAGUUUUCGUGGACCGACCUAUUAGAGGGGCACGGUAAACCCUGUUAUAUCUUACCUCAGUAUGAGAGGCGCAGGUGGAUAACUUAUGAGGCUAACACUAUUAGAGUUCACUUCAAGCCUAUCACUACUCGGUACUCCCCUCGAGCCCGUGACAACCGCCACGGUACCCCGAUAGACACUCAUUUCUCGGAAUGCCAACCGAGACCCCGCAAGGCUUAAUAUCAGUAUCUCCUUUCCCUCGUGAGUAACCGUUGUCGAAAAUCAUGUUCCAGAAGAUUUUAAGCUGUUUCAAACUCAAAACAAAUAAAAUAAUAAUUUUCGUCUCACAGGGGUAUUUUAGUCAU